rnacentral:rRNA from 1 species
AGAGUGAACGCUGGCGGCAGGCCUAACACAUGCAAGUCGAACGGCAGCACAGGGGAGCUUGCUCCCUGGGUGGCGAGUGGCGGACGGGUGAGGAAAACGUCGGAAUCUGCCUAUUUGUGGGGGAUAACGUAGGGAAACUUACGCUAAUACCGCAUACGACCUACGGGUGAAAGCGGAGGACCUUCGGGCUUCGCGCAGAUAGAUGAGCCGACGUCGGAUUAGCUAGUCGGCGGGGUAAAGGCCCACAAGGCGACGAUCCGUAGCUGGUCUGAGAGGAUGAUCAGCCACACUGGAACUGAGACACGGUCCAGACUCCGUA